AGGGACUUAAUACUUUUGAAUGGACACGGACUCUUAUUCUCAUUGAUAUUAAUGUCAUAAAGUAGUUACAUUACAACCUCUUCUAUUGAUUGCAUUCAGGUGGGGGCGUAGGGUGCCUUGUUCUAUCAUAGCAGUAAUCAUACGUCAUGUAUUUCUUCUUCACACGCUGAUAUGCUGCUUUUUGAGCAGGAUUUAAUUCUCUAUAUCUCCCAGCAUUCCACCAUAGAUUUGGCGAUGAGCAAGUGGCGCUAUCUGAGGCGCAACCGUCGACGUUGAAACCUUGGAACCG
rnacentral:lncRNA from 1 species